AUGCAAAAUAAUCAACUAAAUGACGUCGUUUCUAAUUUCUUCUCCAGUUCUCCAUCUCUCCAUCUCUCACGGCUCCAAAUCGAGAGAUCCGCUUCAUGGUGAUCUCGCGCUGCUGCUCCAUCGUUUGGUUGUAACCGGGAGACACGAAAAGCUUCCCUCCUCUCUCCAAUCGUGAUCCUCCGUGUUGUGUCCGUCGAGCAAUCUCCUCAUCUCCUUGACAUCGAAUCUGUACCUCUCAUCCCAUAAAUUUGAGCAACUGAGUGUUGGAAGAGAUUCAAGAGUCAAGAGACUAGCAGAGCAACAAGUGUUGGUGGCUUGGAGAUUUUGAGUAAAGUUCUAUUUAACAAAGUCAAAAACGAGUGUUACUAUGAUUCAUAAUUUGAGAAUGUAAACUUUGGUUUUUAAUUUCUUCGAAGACAAA